UUAUAUACCAAGAACAAUCAAGAUUUUCUUUAAGAAGAUGCUUUCCUCAAAAUUUUUAUUUUGUUAAGAAUAGGGCAUUCAGAGAUGAGGCUGGAUGCAUAGUUUUGUCAUGUUUAUGAAGUCAUGAAAACAUCUGGAUACAUUAUGGAAACCCUCAACCAAAAACUUUUUGGAGUCUCUUUUUUAUGUAAUCAUCCAGGCUUACUCCACUGAACUAUGUAUUUAUUGGAUUUGGAUGGAAGAUGAGAUGUGAUGAUACCCACUCUGUUAAGAAUAGCUGUAUUAGGUGGGCCCAAGGGUCCAUCUUGCCCAGUAUCAUGUCUACAGCAGUGGCCAUGAGUGGAUGCCUGAGAAGGGUGAAGCUCAAGGCUGCUCAAAGGUCUGGAUGAGAGGGCUCACCACCUUGGAAUUAAAGCUGGGAAAUGCUUUUGGAAAAACAGAAGAUGUGCUGGAUGAGGAUAGUGUUGUCCCUCUGGCCUGGCAGGUCACAACUGAAAUUAACCAUGAGAUAUUUAACACUGAAGUGGAGGAGAAAGCUGAAAAACUAGGAGAGCAACUACUUGAAAACUGCUGGGAUAAAGAAACUGAGGCCAAGGCUCCAGGCAUCCUGCUUGAAAUGUAGCAUAUGGGGAGAUGCGUCAGGCAGGAAAUCCUUGAAGAAAGGAGCUGGUUUUACAGAAACGGAGGUGGCCCUAGGAGUUUGAGGGGCUGCGAGGACAGACUGCUUGCCUGCCUGCCCGCUGGAAGCCCUGCACCAGAGGCAGAGGCUGUUCCCUGGAGUAAAGGAGUUUCAGGUUGGUGCCACCAAGAUGUGCGUCUGCCUUAGCCAAUGAGCAUCCGUGCAUGCAAGGGAACAUGUCUGUACCCAACAGCAAUGACCUGUCCCACUCCUUCUUCACGCAACACGUGGGAAGCCAUUUACUAAUGCUGUUACUUCCUUGUUUUCACCGGGAUGGGAAACCAGAGAAAUAGGAAAAAUAAGAGUGAAAGCUGUAGCAGUCAUUAGGAUUGUGGAGCUGCCCACUUUUAAUAUACAGUUCCACAGGUCUGGGGUCUGCCCUGAAAUUCCAGCUCCCAGGAGCCUCUGGUCCUCCUGGGGAAGGAUUCACAGAUGGGUCCGAAAUCAGAGCAGCCGAUGUUGUCCUCUCCUGCCAGGAGGGUGAGGACCACCAUCACCAUCACCAUCACCAGCAGUGUUUCCCUAAGGCAAGUGCUGGCUGGACACAGUGGACAGCUCUGCCUUGGAGACAGGCGAGGUGACCUCAGCAGAGGAGGGAUUAAUGUAUAGACAAUGCUAUAUAAUCUCUAGUGUCAGCAGGUGGCACUCCUACUACUUGAUCUCUACACAUAUACGGCUGCUUGGGAGCUGAAACCUGCAGGAUUUCUGGUCCCAGAGCAGGGCAGGUGUCUGGGGAUGGGAAGAUCUCGGUCUCUGGAGCUGUUGCACUCACUGGAACUUGAACUGCUGAACUGUUUCUGCCUUCUGAUUCCUAGCAACGUUGUUAAACAUGAUAGAAAAAGAGAUAGCAUUUACCCUGCACUUCACUGCAGCUGGAGCCUGAGGGAUGUGCCUGCCCUCAGACUUCAUCCUGCUCCGGACUGCAAAAGGUUUAGGAGAUGCUAAUGCAGCCCUUGGCAUCUCCCAAACGCAUGGUUUGGCUCUCUCCUUAUUUCCCAUAUGGAAAGCUGGUAAAAGGCCUGGUCCUGGUCUAUGAACACAGCUCAGCAGACAGACAAGUCCUGGGUUUCUCUCAUAUAUCUAUACAUGCCACACGUGGUCCCAAGGAAGGAAGGGCUGCAUCCGUGGAGCCUGACGGUGUAAUGUGAGACCAUGUGCACAGCAGCAAAGCUGCUGCCUCUGCUCAUACCUAACCUAAAACUCCCCUGCUGCAAUUUAAUUGCAAUCUAAUUAAUCUCUGCUCCUAUGCAGAGCAUACAGUGCAUUUUACACUCUGACUGGGAAUACACAGGAGGAAACUUGCGUGGAAUGAGUGCAGGAAUGUAUGUGAUGCUUCCUGGGGUUGCGAUACCUGGUGCUCAUCAUUAGGAGGAUUAGCAUGUUUUCUAUAGGAAAUGUGUUCUGGCACUCUAAAACCUAGGGCUGGAAGAGGUGCAUGGGGUCAUCAAAUCUUUUUCUGCGUCAGCACAAGACUUCCCCUGCAGCCCUUUUCCAGCAGAUUUCCAGCUCGCUGUGCAUGUCCCGGGCGGCCGGGCUGCUACCGCCGCUGGGCUGAUUACAAACAGGCUGAUGCACUGGGUCAUGCAUCUCCCUUCCUCGGUAGCUGGCCGAUGCACUCACAUCAUGCUUCUCAUUCCUCCUUUUUGCUCUUCCAAACCAUCUCCGCUCCACUCCCUUCUCCGUGUCCCCACCCUCCCAUCUCUUCUCGCGGGUGUCCUGCCCUGACCCUUUGCCGCACACAGGGUUCGGCUUUUCCCGGCCCUGGCGUUGGCACAUUGGAGGGGCUUCAGGAGGUGAUGAUAAGCUGCCUGUGAGUCUGAUAUUUUCGCCUCCGGCCCUGGGUGAUGAGCUACGAGGUCAGGGUGUCCCUGCUGGACCCCCGGGCAUGGGGAGAAAGCUGCAAUGGGAAGGGUCGCUACUGCAGAAGGAUGGCAAGCCCCAUUCUGCAGGGCUGGGUGCAGCUGUCACCCCGUUUAGGGUAGGAUAGCAUCCCUGUGGGUGAUGCACGGAGAAGCAGCCCCCCUGCUCCACCCCAAGGUCCCCACAGCACGCCUCCGAUUCCCACGCUAAUGAGAAACAGCUUAAAACAUGCUUGAACCUCACUUGCUUUUCACACAUUUUCAAGACAUUAGCAGGGCUGGGUUCACCGUCAGGAGGAAAGGCUCCUUAUCCGCCUUGCCUCGCUAAUAAAAUCACUUCCAGAAAAUCGCAGCGCAGGUGGGACGGCUAUAGCUAUGCAAGGGCUGGA